rnacentral:rRNA from 1 species
UGAAGAAUAUUGGGCAAUGGGCGAAAGCCUGACCCAGCAACGCCGCGUGAGGGAAGAAGGUCUUCGGAUUGUAAACCUCUGUCCCAUGGGACGAAAAAAAUGACGGUACCAUGGGAGGAAGCCCCGGCUAACUACGUGCCAGCAGCCGCGGUAAUACGUAGGGGGCGAGCGUUGUCCGGAAUUAUUGGGCGUAAAGGGUGCGUAGGCGGCCUUUCAAGUUGGAUGUGAAAUCUCCGUGCUUAACAUGGAAAUUGCAUUCAAAACUGGAGGGCUUGAGUGUGGAAGAGGUAAGUGGAAUUCCCAGUGUAGCGGUGAAAUGCGUAGAUAUUGGGAGGAACACCAGUGGCGAAGGCGACUUACUGGGCCACAACUGACGCUGAGGCACGAAAGCGUGGGGAGCAAACA